AUACGUAGGGAGCGAGCGUUGUCCGGAAUGAUUGGGCGUAAAGGGCGCGUAGGCGGCCCGGUAAGUCUGGAGUGAAAGUCCUGUUUUUAAGAUGGGAAUUGCUUUGGAUACUGUCGGGCUUGAGUGCAGGAGAGGUAAGUGGAAUUCCCAGUGUAGCGGUGAAAUGCGUAGAGAUUGGGAGGAACACCAGUGGCGAAGGCGACUUACUGGACUGUAACUGACGCUGAGGCGCGAAAGUGUGGGGAGCAAACAGGAUUAGAUACCCUGGUAGUCCACACUGUAAACGAUGAAUGCUAGGUGUAGGGGGUAUCGACCCCUUCUGUGCCGCAGUCAACACAAUAAGCAUUCCGCCUGGGGAGUACGGCCGCAAGGUUGAAACUCAAAGGAAUUGACGGGG
rnacentral:rRNA from 1 species